rnacentral:rRNA from 1 species
UCGGGAAUUUUGGGCAAUGGGCGAAAGCCUGACCCAGCAACGCCGCGUGAAGGAUGAAGUCUUUCGGGAUGUAAACUUCGUAAAAAUAGGAAGAAUAAAUGACGGUACUAUUUGUAAGGUCCGGCUAACUACGUGCCAGCAGCCGCGGUAAUACGUAGGGACCAAGCGUUGUUCGGAUUUACUGGGCGUAAAGGGCGCGUAGGCGGCAUGACAAGUCACUUGUGAAAUCUCUGGGCUUAACCCAGAACGGCCAAGUGAUACUGUCGCGCUAGAGUGCAGAAGGGGCAAUCGGAAUUCUUGGUGUAGCGGUGAAAUGCGUAGAUAUCAAGAGGAACACCUGAGGUGAAGACGGGUUGCUGGGCUGACACUGACGCUGAGGCGCGAAAGCCAGGGGAGCAAACGGGAUUAGAUACCCAAGUAGUCCCUGAGCGGGCUGGCAAGGCGCAU